rnacentral:lncRNA from 1 species
UGUAAUUCCCAUUUUGAGGACAUAUCUGAACUUUAUUGUCAUUUGAAAAUGUGUUUAGCUAGUGAGGAUGAGCAUUUGAGAAAAAUGUCUAAGUGAAUGUAAGAAAAGUUCAAGAGUAUUGGGCUGAGACUAAAAAUAUGAAUAAAAUGAUUUAUUGCUUCCGUCUAGGAUCCACGUAACAUAUUUGAAUAUGUUGAGGGAGCACUUGAAGAACUUUUUGGGGAAGAAAAAGGGAAGAAAAUAAAUACUAAGGUGUAUG